rnacentral:lncRNA from 1 species
UCCCUCAGGAUUCCCAAUGUCCAUCCCUCAUAAUUCCCUCAGGAUUCCCAAUAUCCAUCCCUCAGCAUUCCAUCAGGAUUCCCUCAGGAUUCCCAAUGUCCAUCCCUCAGGAUUCCCAACAUCCCUCCCUCAGGAUUCCCUCAGGAUUCCCAAUAUCCAUCCCUCAGGAUUCCUAGUGUCCAUCCCUCAGGAUUCCCUCAGGAUUCCCCAUGUCCAUCCCUCAGGAUUCCCAACAUCCCUCCCUCAGGAUUCCCUCAGGAUUCCCUCAGGAUUCCCUCAGGAUUCUCAAUAUCCAUCCCUCAGGACUCCCCAUGUCCAUCCCUCAGGAUUCCCUCAGGAUUCCCCAUGUCCAUCCCUCAGGAUUCCCUCAGGAUUCCCUCAGGAUUCCCUCAGCUUUGUGGUUUGUGCAGCCUCAGGCCCAAAACCCAAAAACCCCCAGGAUAAAGCGCAGAGGGGGACGCUCAGAGCCGGGGGAAGAGUGAAAAUUCGGGAAGCCGGAGGGAGAAGCCCCGGGCAGGGGCAGAAGCCCCAGGAAGGGGGAGAAACCCUGGGAAGGAAGAGAGAAACCCCGGGAAGGAGGGGCAGAAGCUCCAGGAAGGAGGAGAGAAGCCCCGGGCAGGGACAGAAGCUCCAGGAAGGGGCAGAAGCUCCAGGAAGGAGAGGAGAAGCCCCAGGCAGGGACAAAAGCCCCAGGCAGAGGGAGAAGCCCCGGGCAGGGGCAGAAGCCCCAGGAAGGGGGAGAAACCCUGGGAAGGAGGGGCAGAAGCUCCAGGAAGGAGGGGAGAAGCCCCGGGCAGGGACAGAAGCCCCGGGCAGGGGGAGAAGCCCCAGGAAGGGGGAGAAACCCCGGGAAGGAGGAGAGAAGCCCCAGGCAGAGGGAGAAGCCCCGGGCAGGGGCAGAAGCCCCAGGAAAGGGGAGAAACCCUGGGAAGGAGGGGCAGAAGCUCCAGGAAGGAGGGGAGAAGCCCCGGGCAGGGGCAGAANNNNNNNNNNNNNNNNNNNNNNNNN